CUUGAGUGCAGUAGGGGAAAGUGGAAUUCCUGGUGUAGCGGUGAAAUGCGCAGAUAUCAGGAAGAACACCGGUAGCGAAGGCGGCUUUCUGGGCUGCUACUGACGCUGAGGCGCGAAAGCUAGGGGAGCAAACAGGAUUAGAUACCCUGGUAGUCCUAGCUGUAAACGAUGGACACUAGGUGUGGGGAGUUAUCGACGCUUUCCGUGCCGGAGCUAACGCAUUAAGUGUCCCGCCUGGGGAGUACGGUCGCAAGACUAAAACUCAAAGGAAUUGACGGGGGCCCGCACAAGCGGCGGAGCAUGUGGCUUAAUUCGACGCAACGCGAAGAACCUUACCAAGGCUUGACAUCAUAUUGACGAUUAUAGAAAUAUAAUUUCUCUUCGGAGCAAUAUGACAGGUGGUGCAUGGCUGUCGUCAGCUCGUGUCGUGAGAUGUUGGGUUAAGUCCCGCAACGAGCGCAACCCUUGUCCCAUGUUGCUAACAGUUCGGCUGAGCACUCUUGGGAAACUGCCAGCGUAAAGCUGGAGGAAGGUGGGGAUGACGUCAAGUCAUCAUGCCCUUUAUGCCUUGGGCCGCACACGCGCUACAAUGGACCGUACAAAGAGCAGCGAUACUGUGAAGUGGAGCAAAUCUGUUAAAGCGGUUCAAAGUCCGGAUUGAAGGCUGAAAUUCGCCUUCAUGAAGUAGGAGUCGCUAGUAAUCGUGGAUCAGAACGCCGCGGUGAAUACGUUCCCGGGCCUUGUACACACCGCCCGUCACACCACGAAAGUUGGAUACACCCAAAGAUAGUAUACUAACCGGCAACGGGGGAAACUAUUUAAGGUGGAGCCAGUGAUUGGGGUGAAGUCGUAACAAGGUAACC
rnacentral:rRNA from 1 species